CCUGCCCAGUGGAAACCAUUUCUAAACGGCCGCGGUAUCUUGACCGUGCAAAGGUAGCAUAAUCACUUGUCUCUUAAAUGGGGACCUGUAUGAACGGCUUCACAUUCUUAAACUGUCUCCCUUUCUCACCUCAUAAACUUCUAUACACGUGAAGAAGCGUGUAAAAUUUAGAAAGACGAGAAGACCCUGUCGAGCUUUAGUCAACCUCAAAACAACUUAAACUCUUUAAGAAAAGUAGAUUUUUAGAGCUAGACUUUGGUUGGGGCAACCAUGGAGAAAAACAAUCCUCCAGUUCACUAGGCAGAAACCUAUUCACCUAAAAAUUUUUUAGAACCAGUCAUUCUGGAAAACGGAAAAAGUUACCGCAGGGAUAACAGCGUUAUCUCCUCUAAGAGCUCAUAUUGACGAGGAGGUUUGCGACCUCGAUGUUGGAUUGGGGUAACCUAAGGGUGCAGCAGCUCUUAAGGGUCGGACUGUUCGUCCGUUAAUUCCCUACGUGAUC
rnacentral:rRNA from 1 species